UACGAAGGGGGCUAGCGUUGUUCGGAUUUACUGGGCGUAAAGCGCACGUAGGCGGAUCGUUAAGUCGGGGGUGAAAUCCUGGAGCUCAACUCCAGAACUGCCUUCGAUACUGGCGAUCUUGAGUCCGGAAGAGGUGAGUGGAACUCCUAGUGUAGAGGUGGAAUUCGUAGAUAUUAGGAAGAACACCAGUGGCGAAGCGGCUCACUGGUCCGGUACUGACGCUGAGGUGCGAAAGCGUGGGGAGCAAACAGG
rnacentral:rRNA from 1 species